rnacentral:lncRNA from 1 species
UGUUGAAAAAGAUAGAACUGAAGAGGUGAAAGUCUUUGCUUACAAGUUUCCUAUUAAUGGAAGGAGAAGACUGUUUUAAUAUUAAGAGUUACAUGGGGGCUAAGAAAUUGAAGUCUGCUUUAGAGUGAUCUGCAUGUAUAAAAAGAAAAUAUAUUUCUAAAUAUUGUUUGUUAUCUGACUGUGGAGCUGAUUCAACACCAAGCCCUGGGGAAGCUGUAAUAGGUAGCAGAGCAGCUGAAGAGAAGCAUCUUUGAUCUGGGGAACUCAUGGAGGGGAAGUGGCUCACAUGGCCACAUCAGCAUUGCAUUGAUUUGGACUUUUCUGCUGUGCAGGAUAAUUGACACUACCCUGUGGCUAGAUGGUCCUCAGCUGAAAGUAGUUUUCCAGGAGGAAAAAAAAAAAGAAAAAAAGAAAGGAAAGAAGAAAGAAAAAAAGAGNNNNNNNNNNGAGAAGAGAAGAGAAGAGAAGAGAAGAGAAGAGAAGAGAAGAGAAGAGAAGAGGACUGUAAGAUGGCUAGUUAUCAUCAAGUACCAGUGUUAGACAGCAGAAUGUCAUUUGACGUUGUGAUGGGGACUGGUUUUAAGAAUCUCAGAUGUCAUCCUUUGCAAAUUGGCAAAUAAACAUAAGAUCUUUGUGCUGUGAUUAUGGAAUGGCAUGGCUUUUUCUUGUGUUCAGUGUUGACUCUGCCAAAGAACAGAAACAGGUGAUAAACUGUUUAGGGCCUGAAGGCAGCCUGAAUGGACUACUCAGAGAUGACCAAGGGAAAAACAUGUAGAAAAAAGAGGGAAAAUGGGAUAUGGUCUCAAGAUGAAGACGUGGGGGAUCACACGCUUCGAGAACUUGGUUACAAUCUGAAGUAAGGAAAUGUUGCUCCUUGGGGGCCUGGCUGACAAAUAAACACACAACCUUGAAACA